UCCCUGUUGGCUCAGUUGGUAAAGUGUCUGCCUGCAAUACUGAUGACCCAGGUUCAAUCCCUGGGUAGGGAA
rnacentral:tRNA from 1 species